rnacentral:rRNA from 1 species
UGAAACUGCCGUGCUGGAGUACGGUCGCCGCCGGAGGAAUGUGCGGUGUAGCGGUGAAAUGCAUAGAUAUCGCACAGAACACCGAUUGCGGAGGCAUCUGGCGAGGCCGUGACUGACGCUGAGGCACGAAAGCGUGGGGAUCGAACAGGAUUAGAUACCCUGGUAGUCCACGCCGUAAACGAUGAUGGCUAUCCGUCGGGGCGUAAGUUCCGGUGGUCAAGCGAAAGCGAUAAGCCAUCCACCUGGGGAGUACGGCCGCAAGGCUGAAACUCAAAGGAAUUGACGGGGGCCCGCACAAGCGGAGGAACAUGUGGUUUAAUUCGAUGAUACGCGAGGAACCUUACCCGGGCUCGAACGGCUCCGGAAUGUCCCAGAGAUGGGGCAGUCUACGGACUGGAGCCGAGGUGCUGCAUGGUUGUCGUCAGCUCGUGCCGUGAGGUGUCGGCUCAAGUGCCAUAACGAGCGCAACCCCUGCGUCCAGUUGCCAUCAGGUCAUGCUGGGGACUCUGGACGGACUGCCGCCGCAAGGUGCGAGGAAGGGGGGGAUGACGUCAAAUCAGCACGGCCCUUACGUCCGGGGCGACACACGUGUUACAAUGGGGGGUACAGAGGGGAGCCAGGCGGCGACGCCGAGCGGAUCCCGAAAGCCCCUCCCAGUUCGGAUCGGAGUCUGCAACCCGACUCCGUGAAGCUGGAUUCGCUAGUAAUCGCGCAUCAGCCAUGGCGCGGUGAAUACGUUCCCGGGCCUUGUACACACCGCCCGUCAAGCCAUGGGANNNNNNNNNNNNUGAAGUCCGUGACCGCGAGGAGCGGCCUAGGGCGAGACCGGUGACUUGGGGGUGAGUCGUAACAAGGUAACCA